rnacentral:rRNA from 1 species
UACGUAGGUGGCAAGCGUUGUCCGGAUUUACUGGGCGUAAAGGGCGCGUAGGCGGCCACUGCAAGUCGGUUGUGAAAUCUCCGGGCUUAACCCGGAAAGGUCAAUCGAUACUGCAGGGCUAGAGUGCGGAAGGGGCAACUGGAAUUCUCGGUGUAGCGGUGAAAUGCGUAGAUAUCGAGAGGAACACCUGCGGCGAAGGCGGGUUGCUGGGCCGACACUGACGCUGACAGCGCGAAAGCUAGGGGAGCGAACGGG